rnacentral:rRNA from 1 species
CCCUACUGCUAUCGGGGUGGGACUAAAACAUGCUAGUCAAACGUCUCCAAGCCACGGAAGAGACGUGGCAAACAGCUCAGUAACACGUGGCCAACCUAACCUUGAGACAGGAACAACCCCGGGAAACUGGGGACAAUUCCAGAUAGGCGAGGAACCCUGGAAUGGAUCCUCACUCAAAAGGCAUCUGAACCAUGCUUCAGAUGUCGCUCAAGGAUGGAGCCGCGGCCGAUCAGGCAGUUGGUAGGGCAAAGGCCUACCAAACCUAUAACCGGUACGGGCCGUGAGAGCGGGAGCCCGGAGAUGGGAACUGAGACAAGGUCCCAGGCCCUACGGGGCGCAGCAGUUGCGAAAACUCCGCAAUGCACGAAAGUGUGACGGGGCUACCCCGAGUGCCGUCCGCUGAGGAUGGCUUUUCCACGCCGUAAGGAAGCGUGGGAAUAAGGAGAGGGCAAGUCUGGUGUCAGCCGCCGCGGUAAAACCAGCUCUCCGAGUGGUAGGGACGAUUAUUGGGCUUAAAGCGUCCGUAGCCGGCCUAACAAGUCUCUCGUCAAAUCCAACGAUCCAAUCGCUGGACCGCGGGAGAUACUGUCAGGCUAGGAGGCGGGAGAGGCCGACGGUACUCUUGGGGUAGGGGUGAAAUCCUAUAAUCCCAGGAGGACCACCAGUGGCGAAGGCUGUCGGCUGGCACGCGCUCGACGGUGAGGGACGAAAGCUUGGGGAGCGAACCGGAUUAGAUACCCGGGUAGUCCAAGCUGUAAACGAUGCGGGCUAGGUGUUGGGGUGGCUACGGGCCACUUCAGUGCCGCAGCGAAGGCAUUAAGCCCGCCGCCUGGGGAGUACGGCCGCAAGGCUGAAACUUAAAGGAAUUGGCGGGGGAGCACCACAAGGGGUGAAGCUUGCGGUUU